rnacentral:rRNA from 1 species
AACGAACGCUGGCGGCGUGGAUAAGACAUGCAAGUCGAACGGAGAAUGUGAAUAGCUUGCUAGACGCAUUUUUAGUGGCGGACGGGUGAGUAACACGUGAGCAACCUGCCCGAAAGUGAGGAAUAGCCCGGGGAAACUCGGAUUAAUACCGCAUAUGAUUCUGCAAGGCAUCUUGUGGCAAUCAAAGCUGGGGAUCGUAAGACCUGGCGCUUUCGGAUGGGCUCGCGGCCUAUCAGCUUGUUGGUAAGGUAACGGCUUACCAAGGCUACGACGGGUAACUGGUCUGAGAGGACGACCAGUCACACUGGAACUGAGACACGGUCCAGACACCUACGGGUGGCAGCAGUCGAGAAUCAUUCACAAUGGGCGAAAGCCUGAUGGUGCGACGCCGCGUGGAGGAUGACGGCCCUAGGGUUGUAAACUCCUGUCAUCAGAGAGUAACGUUGUGUACAUAAUACGUACGCAAUUUGAUAGUAUCUGAAGAGGAAGGGACGGCUAACUUCGUGCCAGCAGCCGCGGUAAUACGAAGGUCCCAAGCGUUGUUCGGAAUUGCUGGGCGUAAAGCGUGUGUAGGCGGUUGGGUAAGUCAGAUGUGAGAUCCCGGGGCUCAACCUCGGAACUGCAUCCGAUACUGCCUGACUAGAGGACUGGAGGGGAGUCUGGAAUUCUCGGUGUAGCAGUGAAAUGCGUAGAUAUCGAGAGGAACACUAGUGGCGAAGGCGAGACUCUGGACAGAUCCUGACGCUGAGACACGAAGGCUAGGGUAGCGAACGGGAUUAGAUACCCCGGUAGUCCUAGCAGUAAACGGUGCACGCUUGGUGUGGGAGGAUUCGACCCCUUCCGUGCCGGAGCUAACGCGUUAAGCGUGCCGCCUGGGGAGUACGGCCGCAAGGCUAAAACUCAAAGAAAUUGACGGGGACCCGCACAAGCGGUGGAGUAUGUGGCUUAAUUCGAUGCAACGCGAAGAACCUUACCUGGGCUUGACAUGCAUCCCUCAACCGGGAAAGCCGG